CUGACUUUCGUUACGGGCAAAAGAUCCAGGGAGACAGUCCACCCAGAAGCAGAGGAGAGGUGUCCCUCAACAAUGAGACAGGAAUUGCAGAGGAAAUGGGACACUACCUGUUCUUGAAGACAAGGCCAGUCACGGUCGCCUAGCGCUCCUUCUAGGCAAUCCACGCACCCAUGAAGGGAAACAUGGAGAACAAGCAAGCUUUCCUGUCUGAGACACUUAUGGGAGCAAAGAGCUCCACGGUCACGAGAUCUGCCCAAUCAAGCAGAAACAGGUUUGGAGAGAGAAACAAUCAUAACAGGGAUCUCCAGGAAAUGUCUCCCUGACAGACUGGGAAGUCACGGACUGGGAAGUCCCUGAUGGACAGGGAAGACAUGUGGCCAGAGAGAGAGGCAUCUAGGACAGGGGAGACAGAGCAAGAGGGAGGACAGAGCAGAAGGAGCAAGAGGGAGGACAGAGCAGAGGCAGGACAGAGCAAGAAGAAGGAGAGAGCAGAGGCCGGAGCCCAGGCAGGAAACAGCACGGUGCCACCGCCACAGGCAUAAGGGGAGGGGAUCCAAAAGCGUGGCUUGUCCAGAGAAACCAGCGAUCCAGUGACAGGGAUUGUUGCCAUCUCCCAUUCCCGGCUUCCUCUUGCAGACUGUAUCGUGCUAUGGCUUCAUUUCUCAGAGAAGAGCCGUGAAAAGAUACAAGCAUCUUCUCUGACGUGGGUCCGCUGCUCUCCUGUGGGACAAAGAGCUCCUGUGGGGCUCUUGUCCUCAGCUGCAGUGUUUUCAUCUUGAUGCUAGAAAAGAGGCUGCUCAGGAUGAGGAUGAGAUUUCAAUUGCUCCAGGACCGACGCAUCUCCUCACGUGGGCCAGGCCUUCACACACCCAAAGCGGAUCCGCGGCCGCGAAAACGAUUGACAACCGGCCUCAUGACCCAGGCAAAGAUGCAGAAAGAGGCUCACCAAAGACAGGCCGCCAUGCGAGAAACCGCUUUGUGGCACACAGGGCACAUUCGGGUCAUGAGACCUGCCCAAUCCAGCAGAAACACGUUUGGAGAGAGAAACAGUCAUGACACGGAUCUCCAGGUAGUGUCUCCCUGACGGACUGGGAAGUCAUCUUUGCUGAAGACAUUUGGCGAGAGCGAGAGGCAUCCAGGCCCCUGAGAAACAGGGGAGGCAGAGCGAGAGGGAGGAGAGAGCAGAGGCCGGAGCCCAGGCAGCGUAUAGCACCGUGCCACCUCCAUGGGCAUAAGGGGAGGGGUUCCAAAAGCGUGGCUUUUCCAGAGAGGCCAGCGUUCCAGUGACAGGGAUUGUUGCCAUCUCCCAUUCCCGGCUUCCUCUUGCAGACCGUAGCGUGGUGUGGCUUCAUUUCUCAGAGAAGAGCCGUGAAAAGAUACAAGCAUCUUCUCUGACGUGGGACCUCUGCUCUCCUGUCGGACAAAGAGCUCCUAUGGGGCUCUUGUCCUCGGCUGCAGUGUGUUCAUCUUGGUCCUAGGAGAGAGGCCGCUCAGGAUGGGGAUGAGAUUUCAAUUGCUCCGGGACCGACGCAUCUCCUCACGUGGGCCAGGCCUUCACACACCCAAAGCGGAUCCGCGGCCGUGAAAACGAUUGACAACCGGCCUCAUGAGCAAGACAGAGAUGCAGAAAGAGGCUCACCAAAGACAGGCCGCCAUGCAAGAAACCGCUUUGUGGCGCACAGGGCACAUUCGG
rnacentral:lncRNA from 1 species